rnacentral:antisense_RNA from 1 species
GGGGGAGAAUGGGCAUCCCACCCCAGCACUUUCUAGGAAGGAGGGCAGCAUUUUGAAGGGCUGGAAGUAGAGGAAGGAGGUUGCGGGUAGAAGACUCCAUACUUUCUGUGAUGCCUAUUCCUUAGCUUGAGAUGAAUGUUUUCUCAGUAUCCUAUGCUGAAAACAGGUAGAUACUAAUAUCGAUCUUCAAGGGAGGGCUGUUGAGUUUUGAAUAAGACAAAAACAUGGAAGCAAUCAGCACCAUGCUGCAGGAGGAAAAACAUCUGAAGAAUAUAUUUGUAGACUUCCUGGAAAUUGAUAAGUUGUCUCCAUAACUAAAGCAAGCAGAUUUUACUAAUUAGAAUUAUCUACAUAAUUUUACUUCAUUCACUUCUUUCUGUCAUACUAGGAGAGCCUUUAUAUAACCAAAGAUAUUUUUGGACCAUGAAUUCGGAAAUUCUCGGAGCCACCCAUCAGUGCCUGAGCUUCAGUGAGUCCAUAUCCCAUGUCACCCACGGCAAAGGAGAAUCUAAGACUUCUGAAGAGUUUCUUGCUUCUUUCCUGUGGGGCAGUGACUCCACUUCCCAGCAGUAAUGGAAUAUCCUGAAUUAGCUACAUUAAUGUUAGAACCAUUUGGACCUCACCCAGGACUUCAACUACAUUAUGAGUAACUCCUGGACGAUUGGCACAGAAGGCACAAGGCAAAUACCUAUCUCUGUACACCCUGUGCUACUGUGUCAUGUGCUGCUCCAGGCAACUCCAAUGGAUUGGCCACCCUGGCCAAUGUGUUCUAGUAUGUUAGGUUUAUGUUCCCCUGCUUUCUACAAUCCUGUUCAAAGAGUUGCUGACUUAACCACAGAGAGGAUUCCAGAACAUGAGACACAGAAUAAACUUGAGCAAUCAUAGUCCAUCCACUUCAUUUUCUCAUCAAAAACCAAAGGUCCAGUGAAGCUCUGGAAC